rnacentral:rRNA from 1 species
GCGGCAGGCCUAAUACAUGCAAGUCGAGCGCGCCCUUCGGGGUGAGCGGCGGACGGGUGAGUAACGCGUGGGAACAUGCCUUGAGGUGGGGGACAACAGUUGGAAACGACUGCUAAUACCGCAUAAUGUCUACGGACCAAAGGGGGCUUCGGCUCUCGCCCUUAGAUUAGCCCAAGUGGGAUUAGCUAGUUGGUGAGGUAAAGGCUCACCAAGGCGACGAUCCCUAGCUGGUUUGAGAGGAUGAUC